rnacentral:rRNA from 1 species
CCCUUGACUCUGGGAUAAGCCCGGGAAACUGGGUCUAAUACUGGAUGCUACAUGUCACCGCAUGGUGGUGUGUGGAAAGGGUUUACUGGUCUUGGAUGGGCUCACGGCCUAUCAGCUUGUUGGUGAGGUAAUGGCUCACCAAGGCGACGACGGGUAGCCGGCCUGAGAGGGUGACCGGCCACACUGGGACUGAGACACGGCCCAGACUCCUACGGGAGGCAGCAGUGGGGAAUAUUGCACAAUGGGCGAAAGCCUGAUGCAGCGACGCCGCGUGAGGGAUGACGGCCUUCGGGUUGUAAACCUCUUUCAGCAGGGAAGAAGCCACAAGUGACGGUACCUGCAGAAGAAGCGCCGGCUAACUACGUGCCAGCAGCCGCGGUAAUACGUAGGGCGCAAGCGUUGUCCGGAAUUAUUGGGCGUAAAGAGCUCGUAGGCGGUUUGUCGCGUCUGCUGUGAAAGCCCGGGGCUUAACCCCGGGUGUGCAGUGGGUACGGGCAGACUAGAGUGCAGUAGGGGAGACUGGAAUUCCUGGUGUAGCGGUGGAAUGCGCAGAUAUCAGGAGGAACACCGAUGGCGAAGGCAGGUCUCUGGGCUGUUACUGACGCUGAGGAGCGAAAGCAUGGGGAGCGAACAGGGAUUAGAUACCCUGGUAGUCCAUGCCGUAAACGUUGGGCACUAGGUGUGGGGGACAUUCCACGUUUUCCGCGCCGUAGCUAACGCAUUAAGUGCCCCGCCUGGGGAGUACGGCCGCAAGGCUAAAACUCAAAGGAAUUGACGGGGGCCCGCACAAGCGGCGGAGCAUGCGGAUUAAUUCGAUGCAACGCGAAGAACCUUACCAAGGCUUGACAUAUACCGGAUCGUUCCAGAGAUGGUUCUUCCCCUUUGGGGUCGGUAUACAGGUGGUGCAUGGUUGUCGUCAGCUCGUGUCGUGAGAUGUUGGGUUAAGUCCCGCAACGAGCGCAACCCUCGUUCCAUGUUGCCAGCACGUGAUGGUGGGGACUCAUGGGAGACUGCCGGGGUCAACUCGGAGGAAGGUGGGGAUGACGUCAAAUCAUCAUGCCCCUUAUGUCUUGGGCUUCACGCAUGUUACAAUGGCCGGUACAAAGGGUUGCGAUACUGUGAGGUGGAGCUAAUCCCAAAAAGCCGGUCUCAGUUCGGAUUGAGGUCUGCAACUCGACCUCAUGAAGUCGGAGUCGCUAGUAAUCGCAGAUCAGCAACGCU